rnacentral:rRNA from 1 species
UACGUAGGUGGCGAGCGUUGUCCGGAUUUACUGGGCGUAAAGAGCGCGCAGGCGGUCGUUCAAGUCGCGUGUGAAAGCCCCCGGCUCAACUGGGGAGGGUCACGCGAUACUGAUCGACUCGAAGGCAGGAGAGGGAAGUGGAAUUCCCGGUGUAGUGGUGAAAUGCGUAGAUAUCGGGAGGAACACCAGUGGCGAAGGCGACUUCCUGGCCUGUUCUGACGCUGAGGCGCGAAAGCGUGGGUAGCAAACAGG